GACGAACGGCUGGGCGGCGUGGAUUAGGCAUGCAAGUCGGACGGUAGGGCUUUAUCGUAAGAUAGAGUUUGAGAGUGGCGAACGGGUGAGUAACACGUAGGAAUCUACCCUUAAGACGGGACAACCCAGGGAAACUUGGGCUAAUACCGGAUGAGAGUACGAGAGAUUGCAUUUAAAAGGAUGGCGAAAGUUGUCGCUUAGGGAUGAGCCUGCGGUCUAUUAGUUAGUUGGUGAGGUAAGAGCUCACCAAGGCGAUGAUAGAUAGGCGGCCUUAACGGGUGGUCGCCCACACUGGGAUUGAGAUACGGCCCAGACUCCUACGGGAGGCAGCAGUCGAGAAUAGUCUACAAUGGCCGGAAGGCUGAUAGUGCGACGCCGCGUGAACGAGGGAGCCCUUCGGGGUGUAAAGUUCUUUUCUAUACGAGCAGUGCUAUAUAUAUGGAUAGUAUAUAUAGAGGGAUAGUAGUAUAGGAAUAAGCAACGGCUAACUCCGUG
rnacentral:rRNA from 1 species